rnacentral:lncRNA from 1 species
GCUCAGAUAAGCUAUUUAAAGCUGAACGUCCGUGUGCUCAGACCUGAAGCUUUCCAUGUUGUCAUAGCUGAACGGGUUCAAUCAUCGCCAGUGAACUGUCAGUGAGUUGGAGAACAUUUCAACUAUCACUUGGAAUCUGAAGAAUUCUUUGCUUGACAGUGCCAGUAUAAGUGCGUUUCAAAAGAACAAACGCUCCCUCUGGUGAUAUGGGUGUAAAAAUGCUGCAGUGCUUUCCUUUCUACAGACGCUGCAAGGAGAGGUGCAAAAGACAGUGCCCUCCUGAGACCACAGUAGCAAGUGAAGAGGUGAAACCUCGGCUGUGUUCCACUACCUCCUGGGGCAGUGAAGGGGACAGCGGCAGCAGUCUGAGUUGCCCACAGGCCUAUUUUUCCCACAAGGCUCGGCUCUCACUGAGACACCAGAUGGAUAGCAACAUCAAUGCAGUGGAUGCCACAUACUAACUUUAUUCUGCAGGUGGUCCCUGGAGAAUCCUUGAAAGUAAACUUCAGAUUUACAGCCCCAGUCCAGUUUAAGUCCCUUAUUGGAGAGAUUUUGCGGGAACAUUUGGAACAGGCAGCAUGGAAGUUUGCCUCUCCUUGCACGCUUCCAUGGACACUCAUGAGCAUCAGCUGUAUGCAUUGCAAUAACAAUGUCAAGAUAAGUGUCUGAAUUUCGGUACAGCAAUGAGUGUAAAAUGGUACAGCUGAGUGUAAUUUGGUGAAAGGGAUGUUUUGAAACACUCUUAAGAGUGAUGUUUACAUGAUAACCAGUAAGUGCUUUUUUCUAGCCUGUAGCAUUUGCCCUCCACAGCCUCUGCUAUACAUGCAUCUACGUUAUCUCAACUGGAUGCUGGUUUUAUCUGAGGAGACACUGACAUCUUAAUGCAACUGAGUUUUUUGAGCCAGAUAUAAAUUUGUUCAGUACACUCUAAAAAAUGCUGGGUUAAAAAGGGAGAAACCCAGCGGUUGGGUUGUUUUGACCCAGCGGUUGAGUUCAAAACAACCCAACCGCUGGGUCAAAACAACCCAAUAGCUGGGUUUGUCCCUUUUUAACCCAGCAUUUUUUAGAGUGUAGGAUUUUUGAUGAAUAGCAGUCUACCUAAUAAAAUCAACCACGCUUUGCCUUGCAGGUCAUAAAUUCAGUGUGUACUGUGAAGCAACGGAAUGUUUUUUUUUCUUUCACAUUAACAGAAAGGAAGUUUUUAAAGCUUAUUCUGCUUUCUAUGUAAGUGACAUUUUCUCUGCCUUGCAGCUGCAUCAAGGUCCAUAACACAGCUCUAACGUUCAUUUCAUUUUUAUUAUGUAUAUUUUUCAGGGCUUUUUGAAAUAUGCCCUGACCAUAAACCAAUUUUGCUUGAGGGGCGUGUUUGGAACAAUUCUACAAAAUGUGUUUUGUUUCAUGGACUUUAUGCAAGUUAAACUUGACCAAAUAAUAUUAAUAUGAAGACGGCCCAGUUUCUAAAUCUUUGUAAGGUCUUCUUCUUAUUGCAUGUAUAAAACCAGUCAAAAGAAUGGAGAUGUUUGUCAUGAUCCACUCAUUGCUGCUGUUCCGACAUGUUUGAAAAAAACAGGUUUUACAUGCUAAUGAUGUGUAUCUGGACUUCUUCACGUUGUUGUGUGCACAUGUAUCAACAUUAGUUUUUUUAAAUGUUAAAAGUGGAUUUUUACACUAACCCAGCAAAAGAACAGAAUUCACAAGCCACUGUUACACCUUUGAAGUCACAAUAUGCAAGAGAAGAUAUUUUUGGUAUAUUUUGUAUGCAAUGUGUAAAUCAAUUUUAUGUAAAAAAAAAUUAUAAUUGUAAUAAGUAAAAAGACAGUGAACUAAAUUAUAAUAGAAUUAAAACAGCACAUGUCCUGUUGCUUUCACUGAUGACUGUAAAAAAAAUAAAAAAACAACUGUUUUUCAAAAAG